rnacentral:rRNA from 1 species
CUACGGGUGGCAGCAGUCGAGAAUCUUCCGCAAUGGACGAAAGUCUGACGGAGCGACGCCGCGUGCGGGAUGAAGGCCUUCGGGUUGUAAACCGCUGUCAGUGGGGAGGAAAUGCAUCAGGGUUCUCCCUGGUGUUUGACCGAUCCGCAGAGGAAGCGCAGGCUAAGUUCGUGCCAGCAGCCGCGGGUAACACGGACUGCGUGAACGUUAUUCGGAAUCACUGGGCUUAAAGAGUUCGUAGGCGGCCUUUCAAGUCGGGUGUGAAAUCCCUCGGCUCAACCGAGGAAUUGCGCCUGAUACUGUUGGGCUUGAGGGGGAUAGGGGUGAGCGGAACUGAUGGUGGAGCGGUGAAAUGCGUUGAUAUCAUCAGGAACACCGGUGGCGAAGGCGGCUCACUGGAUCUCUUCUGACGCUGAGGAACGAAAGCUAGGGGAGCGAACGGGAUUAGAUACCCGGGUAGUC